rnacentral:rRNA from 1 species
ACGGUAGCUAAUACCGCAUAACCUCGUAAGAGCAAAGUGGGGGACCUUCGGGCCUCACGCUAUCGGAUGUGCCCAGAUGGGAUUAGCUAGUAGGUGGGGUAAUGGCUCACCUAGGCGACGAUCCCUAGCUGGUCUGAGAGGAUGACCAGCCACACUGGAACUGAGACACGGUCCAGACUCCUACGGGAGGCAGCAGUGGGGAAUAUUGCACAAUGGGCGCAAGCCUGAUGCAGCCAUGCCGCGUGUAUGAAGAAGGCCUUCGGGUUGUAAAGUACUUUCAGCGGGGAGGAAGGCGAUGAGGUUAAUAACCUUGUCGAUUGACGUUACCCGCAGAAGAAGCACCGGCUAACUCCGUGCCAGCAGCCGCGGUAAUACGGAGGGUGCAAGCGUUAAUCGGAAUUACUGGGCGUAAAGCGCACGCAGG